rnacentral:rRNA from 1 species
UACGUAGGGUGCAAGCGUUGUCCGGAAUUAUUGGGCGUAAAGAGCUCGUAGGCGGUUUGUCGCGUCGAAUGUGAAAACCCGGGGCUCAACCCCGGGCCUGCAGUCGAUACGGGCGGACUCGAGUUCGGCAGGGGAGACUGGAAUUCCUGGUGUAGCGGUGAAAUGCGCAGAUAUCAGGAGGAACACCGGUGGCGAAGGCGGGUCUCUGGGCCGAUACUGACGCUGAGGAGCGAAAGCGUGGGGAGCGAACAGG